CCUGCCUUUUCUAGAAGCACUGCAGUUGUAGCUGCCAUGUCCUAUAUGCGUUGGGUGGCAGAGAGGACAGAAGCUAUGUCUAUGCUCAGUGUUCUGACUGAUGAAUAUCUAAAUGAUUAGUAGCCUAAAAUU
ensembl:snoRNA Gm22039 predicted gene, 22039